rnacentral:rRNA from 1 species
AGAGUUUGAUCCUGGCUCAGGAUGAACGCUAGCUACAGGCUUAACACAUGCAAGUCGAGGGGCAGCAUUGGAGUAGCAAUACUUCAGAUGGCGACCGGCGCACGGGUGAGUAACACGUAUCCAACCUGCCGCUUACUCGGGGAUAGCCUUUCGAAAGAAAGAUUAAUACCCGAUGGUAUAAAGAGUUCGCAUGUUCUCUUUAUUAAAGAAUUUCGGUAAGCGAUGGGGAUGCGUUCCAUUAGAUAGUUGGCGGGGUAACGGCCCACCAAGUCUACGAUGGAUAGGGGUUCUGAGAGGAAGGUCCCCCACAUUGGAACUGAGACACGGUCCAAACUCCUACGGGAGGCAGCAGUGAGGAAUAUUGGUCAAUGGACGAGAGUCUGAACCAGCCAAGUAGCGUGAAGGAUGACUGCCCUAUGGGUUGUAAACUUCUUUUAUAAGGGAAUAAAGUGAGGGACGUGUCCCUUUUUGUAUGUACCUUAUGAAUAAGGAUCGGCUAACUCCGUGCCAGCCGCUGC